UAGAGUUUGAUCAUGGCUCAGGAUGAACGCUAGCGGGAGGCCUAACACAUGCAAGCCGAGCGGUAUUGUUUCUUCGGAAAUGAGAGAGCGGCGUACGGGUGCGGAACACGUGUGCAACCUGCCUUUAUCUGGGGGAUAGCCUUUCGAAAGGAAGAUUAAUACUCCAUAAUAUAUUGAACGGCAUCGUUUAAUAUUGAAAGCUCCGGCGGUUAGAGAUGGGCACGCGCAAGAUUAGCUAGUUGGUGAGGUAACGGCUCACCAAGGCGAUGAUCUUUAGGGGGCCUGAGAGGGUGAUCCCCCACACUGGUACUGAGACACGGACCAGACUCCUACGGGAGGCAGCAGUGAGGAAUAUUGGUCAAUGGGUGCAAGCCUGAACCAGCCAUCCCGCGUGAAGGACGACUGCCCUAUGGGUUGUAAACUUCUUUUGUAUAGGGAUAAACCUACCCUCGAGAGGGUAGCUGAAGGUACUAUACGAAUAAGCACCGG
rnacentral:rRNA from 1 species